rnacentral:rRNA from 1 species
CGCGAAUUCGCCCUUCGGGGUGCAGCAGGCGCGAAAACUCUACAAUGCAGGCAACUGCGAUAGGGGAGCAUCGAGUGGCACCCACCAUGGGUGUCUGUCCAGCCGUCUAAAAAACGGCUGUUAGCAAGGGCCGGGCAAGACCGGUGCCAGCCGCCGCGGUAAUACCGGCGGCUCGAGUGGUGGCCGAUAUUAUUGAGUCUAAAGGGUCCGUAGCCGGCUUUGCAAGUCCCCUGGGAAAUCCAGCGGCUUAACCGUUGGGCUUUCAUGGGAUACUACAUUGCUUGGGACUGGGAGAGGUAGGAGGUACUCAGGGGGUAGGGGUGAAAUCCUGUAAUCCUCUGGGGACCACCGGUGGCGAAGGCGUCCUACCAGAACAGGUCCGACGGUGAGGGACGAAAGCUAGGGGCACGAACCGGAUUAGAUACCCGGGUAGUCCUAGCCGUAAACGAUGCUCGCUAGGUGUCACGGCAGUCGUGAAUUGUCGUGGUGCCGUAGGGAAGCCGUGAAGCGAGCCACUUGGGAAGUACGACCGCAAGGUUGAAACUUAAAGGAAUUGGCGGGGGAGCAC